GACGAACGCUGGCGGCGUGCCUAAUACAUGCAAGUUGAGCGCUGAAGGUUGGUACUUGUACCAACUGGAUGAGCAGCGAACGGGUGAGUAACGCGUGGGGAAUCUGCCUUUGAGCGGGGGACAACAUUUGGAAACGAAUGCUAAUACCGCAUAAAAACUUUAAACACAAGUUUUAAGUUUGAAAGAUGCAAUUGCAUCACUCAAAGAUGAUCCCGCGUUGUAUUAGUUAGUUGGUGAGGUAAAGGCUCACCAAGGCGAUGAUACAUAGCCGACCUGAGAGGGUGAUCGGCCACAUUGGGACUGAGACACGGCCCAAACGCCUACGGGAGGCAGCAGUAGGGAAUCUUCGGCAAUGGACGAAAGUCUGACCGAGCAACGCCGCGUGAGUGAAGAAGGUUGUCGGAUCGUAAAACUCUGUUGGUAGAGAAGAACGUUGGUGAGAGUGGAAAGCUCAUCAAGUGACGGUAACUACCCAGAAAGGGACGGCUAACUACGUG
rnacentral:rRNA from 1 species